UUAAGAGAUUGGCUAGAAAGCAUUGCUUUAGCAAGCAAAAAUACCUGGCCCGAGCAUGGACACUCUUUUCUGUCUUUGUGCCUAAGUAAGCAAUCAUCUGUCUGUGUUCUUUACAGGCUGAGAGUGGCCAUUAAGAAAUGAAAGCGAGUUUAGAUUUCACCGGCAUGUUUGGAUUUGACGACAUUUUGCAUUUCAAGAAACCAAGGUCAGCUCAACCCUUUUUUGCACUGGGACCCGGCCACCACCGUGAUUUAAGCAAAGAACUACACUGGUGAAUUUAAAGAAGCUGGGCAAGGAGUAACAAUUGCCUGUGACAACUGUCUGCGAAGAAUAUCGUUCUCAGAAAUUCCAAACUGCCCCAGAGCUGUGGCAGGAAAGUCCACAGAUUAUUAUUGGGUAAUGACAUUGGAAAUAAAAAAGUAUAUAGUA